CGUAGGUAACCUGCCUGGUAGCGGGGGAUAACUAUUGGAAACGAUAGCUAAUACCGCAUAAUAGUAGAUGUUGCAUGACAUUUACUUAAAAGGUGCAAUUGCGUCACUACCAGAUGGACCUGCGUUGUAUUAGCUAGUUGGUGGGGUAACGGCUCACCAAGGCGACGAUACAUAGCCGACCUGAGAGGGUGAUCGGCCACACUGGGACUGAGACACGGCCCAG
rnacentral:rRNA from 1 species